CUACCCAUUAUUCUGGAGAGCAAAUGUAUUUCAACAGGACCGGUGUAACGUUCAAUACGGUGACGCCUCUUCAGAUAGAUCAAGGAUUCAGUACCCUAACGUUACUACGACAUGCGUAGGCUGGCUAAUGUAAUUUGAGCGCGACGGUAUAUUAUAUCCUCCACUGCACAAUUCAAAUGCAAGACGUUGCCCAUUACCCUAUAGGCUAUGGAAAACAUUGUCCAGAAGGUGAUGGCACUUGUAAUCCACGCGCAAAACACCACCACACAGUCCCCUGCCAUGAAUGCUACGACCAAAGCUGGCGGUGCGAGUUCCAACAUGACCAAGAUGCCCGAUGUCACCAAGAACAACAACAUUCCCAAAGGAGCCAGUGCACCCUUGCAGUCCAGCUCAGGCGUGCUCAUCAUACCCAUCAUGGUGGGGGGCUCACUACAGGGGCGCUUCUAGAGGGCUGUUGAGCAGGGAACAGACACCAGCAAGACUUUAACAUCAGCGGCCUAGAUCGGGCGAACUCUUCGACAAAGAGCCCAUUUAAAAAAAUAAUAAUAAUUAUGAGAAAGGCAGUCAUGUGCGUUCCUAACCGAAGAGUUCACUGAUGGGAAUUGUUAUAUUCCCUCACCUUCUGGCCGCUUCAAACCAGUAGGCCUUCACACCUCGCACACUGGCCCCAUGCCCAUAGGCUGAACUGGAAUAUGGAAUUGUAUGAGUUUGCAUAUGUGAGAUUUAAUUGUAUGAAUCAUGAUGUGAUCUGCUUAGAUUAGUUUUUAUGGCCAGGUUCAAUAAACCUUUGAAAUAUAGGAUACUUGUGACAAUUUUCUUGUAUAAUAAAAAUACUUUAACAUA